rnacentral:rRNA from 1 species
AUUGAACGCUGGCGGCAGGCCUAACACAUGCAAGUCGAACGAGUGGCGGAAGGGUGAGUAAUGUCUGGGAAACUGCCUGAUGGAGGGGGAUAACUACUGGAAACGGUAGCUAAUACCGCAUACCAUCGGAUGUGCCCAGAUGGGUUUAGCUAGUAGGUGGGGUAAAGGCACACCUAGGCGACGAUCCCUAGCUGGUGUGAGAGGAUGACCAGCCGCGCUGGAACUGAGCCACGGUCCUGACUCCUACGGAGGGCAGCAGUGGGGAUUAUUGCACAAUGGGCGCAUGCCUGAUGCUGCCAUGCCGCGUGUAUGUAGAAGGCCUUCGGGUUGUAAAGUACUUUCAGCGUGGAGGCGUUACCCGCAGAAGAAGCGCCGGCUAACUCCGUGCCAGCAGCCGCGGUAAUUC